CAAAUGAUGUACUCCAAUUGAGAGCGACUCUUAUCUACCAGGCUGCUAUUUCUAAAAACAAUCAAUUACAAUUAGCCGCCUCUCAUCAUCCCCUGUAUCGCGGUUUCCGAAGAUACAUAGUUUUAAACCGUCUGAUUAGAUGGCUUCGACCAGUAAGCUCCCGCCUAAAGGUCAUCGACGGUUCACAUGCAGACAGUUCCCACCGAAGUCUCACCCCCCAUCACAUCAGUUUAAUUCCAAAUUAUUGAAUAGAUGGCUUCGACCAGUAAGCUCCCGUCUAAAGGUCAUCGACGGUUCACAUGCAGACAGUUACCACCGAAGUCUCACCCCCCAUCACAUCAGUUUAAUUCCAAAUUAUAUCACUUCUCGAUC
rnacentral:lncRNA from 1 species